UGUGCCCCUGCCAAGGGGAUUACUGCUCACCCCUCCUCUGCCCUUCUGCUCUUGGGACUUCUGCAUCCCUGCUUGUACAUUGACUUAGCUCCAAGGCUGACUGGGAAAAUUUUGAACAAUCUUGAGAAGAGUUGUCUUGGAACACAGAGGAUAAGGCAUCAAUCCCCCUUGAGUUUUCCGUGGGGAUAGAUUUUUCCUGCAGAAGGCAAUUCUGUGUAUGGCAAGCAGGGUUUAGGGCAGGGGGAGACUGAUACAGCUCCAUCAACCAACUGUACAAAGAACACCUCGCUUUUAACGCCAUGACUGGAGCCUGGAGCAAGAGGAACUCAGGAAUUUACGCUGGGAAGGUGAGAAGCAUCUAUUCCUACAUCAACUGAGCAGGAAGAAGGGGAAAGCACCACCUUCCCAGAAGACAGAAGACUGGAGCAUCCCUGAGUAAUCCUUUCUGGGAGAGAUCAACAGGAGAAUAGAGUGGCCCAUCAACAAAGGUUUUCUUUCCUCCUCCUUCAUCAGGAAGUGAUGAGAACUGGUUGGUAUUUUGGAAUGAGCAUUUGCUGUGCUAGGAGCCCACUGCAGCCUACCUGUCUGUAUACACUGACAAACAACUCCUAGAAUCUCAAAGAAAAGGUUAAAAAUAGACCACACUCAGGAUUAAAAAGGGAUGUGAAAAUGUGGGACAACACAGGCCUCCAGCUCCAGCACAUUUGCUUUAACUGCAGAUGAGCACCAUGAUGAGGUGAAGGACUACCUCUGAUAUAUAGGAGAGAAAUGCAGCAUUUCCUUCUGCAAGGACCAUGUGUUGUCUUUCAUAGGAAAGUGUGCAUGCUUUUUUCCCUUUUGAUCUUUAUACAGUAAUUUCUCUGUACUGUUGAACUACACCAAAUGUCUCUUUGAGAGCUAGGCAAACAAGUAUUAACCUUUUGCCAACUGGUGUGAAAUUAAAAAAGAAAAGGAUUUUUAAAAAAUCUAUUUCAACUGCUUUUCUGUCAGACAAUUAUUGUAUAAUUGAAAGACAUCCAGUUGAUAAAAAAGAACAUGUUUUUUAUUGGCAGCACAGUAACAUGAGUUCAAAGACUGUAUUUGCCAAGAGUGCAUAACUCUGUAAUGGCCGGCAUACUUUUACAAGUGUUCUGUGGUAUUACUGACAGAAGGAUUGCUUUGGUCCAAGACAGAUGUAAAAUACUUCAUUUAACAAAUAUUUACUCCACAAUUAUCUGAAAAUGUAGAAAGUACAACCUGACAUGUUUGAAUAUCUAAAGAACCUGUUUAUGGGGGUAUUCUAUUAUUGUUCCUACAUAAUAAUCCAAAAAAUAUAGUUGCAGGGGAGGCUGAAUGAUUUAGGAUAUUGGUAAUAGGAUACAAAGCCUUUCACUUCUUGGUCAGCAGUUCAAAUCUGGCUUAGGUUGGUAGUAACUCAAAAUGAUUGCUGCAAUGUGUCUAGGGUUAAUCACAGGGUGUGCCUUCCAGAUUCAGAGUCCACCACCAUAAUGACUAAACUGGCACGAUGACCCUGUGGUCAACAUGGCACUUCUGCAGGAGUUAGGGAACACCAUGAAGGUGGCUGCAGAGGUAUAGGACCCCAGCACAUCUUGCAGAGAACUGUAGAAUUACCUACUCCAGGAACCUGCCGGAAGUUUUGUCUUAUCUGAGUAGUGGUGGAGACAGUAAAUACUCUUGCAGAUCGACCAUCACGGCAUGUUGGCAUCUGUUAGGGGACAUGGAUGUCACUAUGACCUGUCACAGCACCAGCCAUGCUGAUGGAGGACUCUGUGGCACAAUUACUGAUGGGUGAUCAGAAGACUUGCUGAAGGGUGAGAUUUAUCUCAGUUUUUAUUUGGUGUUUUGAGUUUGGGAAGCAACAGAACGCUGAAGUUUUGAUCAGCAGUGUAGAUUUAAUGCUUGAAAGAGAAUGUAGUGGCCUAUUUCAGAUGGAUAGAGGGCUGCAUUUGAUCAAGUCCUAUGCCCAUCCCUGAUGUUCCUGCCUUUAACUGGGAAAACAAAGGCUGCUGAUGCCCAUUUCGUCUCACCAGGACCAGCUGCAUGAACUAGCUCACAUCCACACUCUUCAGCCUUCUUGCUGUCCAACACUGGACAUCAUAGUAAAGUUACUGAUAGUCAGUAAUCCCUGACACAUGCUAAUGCCCAGAAAGUGCUUGGGAACAGUUUUGGAGAAUAUUAGCUGGCUCAGGCCAAGACUAUACCAGGGACCACCUAAGAGGGUAACAGUUCAAACAGUCCUGCUCUGGUGGUAGGUAUAUGGUCUGUUUAAUUCAGUAGUGUAAGGACAGCUGUGUGAUCCUAUUUAAGCGGUUUUGUUUUCCUCUUUGAAGCGAAAAUUGUGUCAUUUUUUGUUCUUGUGCAUUUAGAUUUUUUAGAAUAAGAUUCGUAAUUAAAAAUAAAAGGCAACGAAUUUGAUCCUUACCUCUAGUCCUGUAGACUUUUAAUCUGGUAUGAAAAUAAUUCUAUGUGGAUUUAAGUUCAAGAUUCACAAGGUGUUGCUGCUCUAGCUGAUACAAUUUUAUAGAACCACAAUUUACAUCUGCAGUUCUCCUCUUCCAAAUAGCUAGGCACAUGUGAGAUUCUUGGGAUUAUCCUGGGAAUGGCUAGGAGCUGGACUUCAAUGAUCCUUGUGGGUCUCCUCCAACUCAGGAUAUUCUAUGAUUUUGUGCUAUUUAACACCUUUUCUCUCAUUAGUAAUGGCAAACUGGUAGAGACUGCUGUGACAUCUUGAUGAGUACAGAGUUUUCUGAGGAAGGGAACAAAUUCCAACACUGGUGCUUUUUUAAACUUUUUUUAUUUUUAGAAAAAGGUUUCAGGUUGUUUAAACUUAUUCCCUGAUUUCAAGUUCAGAUAUUUAGCAACAGAAGGUGGUAUCCUGACACCAUUGCUUAAUGGUCCAAUGUACUUCCACCAUUUCAGUCUUAAUUUUCCUUCAGGUAGAAGUGAUAGAAGUCUUUAUUUUAAAUUAUAUUCUUUCUCCGUGUAAGAUGUUAUACUCCCUAGCAAUGACUGAUGACUCUGCACUUUAGGAAGUUGUUUAAAAAAUGUGCAUACCAAUACAGGUGGUUACUUAAGUUACAUAAGAUUGAAGAAAAAUUUUUAAACAUCAGGGCUUGGAUUCAGGUAAUUCAAUUAAGAUGCCUGAGUUAGGAUCAAAGCCACAGUUUGUUCUCUCUAAUUAUUGGAGAAAUAGGCACCACCAGGAGUAAUUCAGUAUCCUCCAGCAUAUAAUUACUCUGUAAAACCUGAACUGCCUUCUGCAGAUCCCUGUCUGUACUGAUGGAUAGGCAAAGGCAAAACCAAUCCCAGCCAUGAUGGUGCUGCCCUGGUGUGGCAUGAACCCAGGCCACUGCAGCUUAGAGGAGCUCUCUUGGCCUUCAGCUGCUUCUCGAGGAUCUCAAAUUGGGCAUUGUGAAAAACUGUUACCUAAAUCACUUUCAGAUACCUGAGUCCAUAUAAACUGACAGAUUCAACAGUGGUAGACACUGUAAAAGGCAGAGCAAUGCUCUCCAUCGGAGAGGCAGGGACAAGGAGAAGUCAGGCCAACCAGCCACUCAUCUUGGACACUUCUAUUUGUUUGUUUACUGCCACACGACAGUGGCUACCACUUCUUAUUCUGCAGGACAAGCAAGCAGAAAGCCCUGCACCCUGAUGGCCUGGAGAGGGGCAGGCAGCCCUCACCAUUCCCUGGUUCACAUCACUUGGCUCCUGGGACAAUCUUUGCUGGCUGCAGUAGCCCCAAAGGGUUCUUGUUUGUUUUAUGCAGGUUUUUCAUUCUGAAACACAAAUCCUCUCUGGCAGCCAUAUGGAACUGUGCACCCUUUAUCCUGCCUUGGGUAGUAGAAAAUGGAGGAGCAGGGGCUGUUUUCCCUCUGCACAUGUUCUGUCUUCAUUUGCAGCGUGCAGACGUGUGCCAGCCCACAGGCACCACCCUCCCUGUCCUGUGCAUGCCUUGCCCUGUUGAUCUGACCAUGGGUGCUCAGUUACAAGUGAUAAUGAAAUGAUAUUCAGUGGUACUGUGUGGAUGGAACUGAGAGUGGUAUUUUGGUAUUUGUUUGGUAUUGUGCAUGUACUCCUAAACGAAAGAGAAAAAAUAAAUUUUAUCCUUUAAAAAUGAAAAACAGAUUUGAAAAAGUUGGUCUAUAGAUUUUUUUACAAGUGUACUUCUACUGACAAAGCUUAUAAAAACAUUCCAAAGUAAUGUAGUGUGAUGACCCUUGCUCAUAAUCACAGAAAGCCUCUCCAAGUUUUUUUAUUUUUUAAUAAGUCUAUCAUUAAUCUUCAAUGAAAAGAAUAUAGAUUUUAUGAAGAAAGCUCAACAAAGUUCUUGGAAAACUUACAAGACAUUUAACAGCUGAACAGUGUAUCUCACAAAUGGACUUUAAAGGUGCUCUUUCAAACUGAAGCCUGUAUUUGAUCUGGUUUUAUAGUUAGCAAUUGCUUUGGUCUGAAACUUCACCCAUUCUUUCCAACUAAUAAACAAAAGAAUCCUGAAAUAUAGCACUUGUUAGAGGUACAACAUGACAGGCUCUGAACCAAUUAAUAUUACAUCUUAGAUUAUUUAGUUUGGAUUCAUAAUUUGUUCUAAGACAUCCUACUGUACCAGAACUGUAUAUUUGUAUAUAUUGAACAACGUAAACCACAGGAUUAGCAGUAUUUAUAUACAUGUAAUAAACAUGUAGAAGUGAUGGGUUUUUUUAAGUUUUCUUUUGUGAUUUUAUUUGGUAACGUUGAGAAUGACUCAAAUGUUUUCUCCAAUAACUUUAAUCUGGAUUUCCUUUCUGAUAAAACUCUGGUUGUUUGCAGAUCCACCCGUCAGUUUUAUGGGGAUAUCUUUGAGACAUCACAAUUAUAAAACAAACUGGAAGGAAGAGCAGCUGUACUUACAAACAAACAUCACAGGCACAAUUAAUCUGCUUCAAAGUUUAUGAGGGGAAGCAUAAAAUAUCAAAUAAAGGGUAAUGGGAAAUAUUUAAAAAAUGCUGAAGCUGGUAACAAUCCACAGAGCAGAGCAGCCAGUGCACGUUCAGGAAACAAAAUGUAGCUAGUAACUCAUUUGGUUGGAAGCCACCCAUUCUCUACCUCCCAACCUGAACUUCAGGGCUGUUUCAUGUUUCUGAAACAGAUGCAGCUCUCUCUCUCUCCCUCUCUCUUUGUCCCUCUCUCUCUCUCUAUAUAUAGUCCAUUUACUUUGUAGAUUACGAUUUAAAAGAUAUUAAUUUUUUUUAAAUGAAGAUGGUAAUAAAAUCUCAAGAGGCCCAUUUUGUUUUCUGUUGUUCAACUUAAACCAGGCAUGAUCCCAUUCUUGUGGCUGAAAUUUAUGUCCCUGCUUAGAUAAAAGCAUAUACAUACAAAUGCUCUUUUGAGCUCCUUCUUGUUUACACUCACACACCUCUGUUCCAACAAAGUCUGCUGGAAACAGGCAUUGAAUCAAGCAGGUGUGUGACUACUUUGGAUAAUUUUUUUUAAACCUCACUGUAUAAUUUAAGAUUUUUUAAAACUAAUUCUUCUGUACAUAACAACAACAAAUUCAACCCCAAAAUUCCAUUUUAGAAUCUGAAUGACCUGGAUAGUGCAUUUGUGAUUUUCUUAUAAUUUUCUUAACCUUAACAGAAAGUUUCACCAUGUACCAAACUGAAAUAGUUUGGUGCAUAAGAUUUCUUGAGGCUCAGAAUUUGAGAUUUCAUCUGCUCAUGUCACAGGUAAAGCAUUUUUAUCACUUUUUGUCUCACUGUUCAUGGAUUCAUAAAUUAUCAAAGAGACUGUGGUGGUAUCUGAUCUGCUCAUUGUGGCAUUUCUGCCAUAUCUACUAUGUAUUUCUAAGAUGAUUCUUUUUACGUGAUAGAAUGUGCAUUAAUGGAUAGAUGUUGGCAUUAAUAUGAUAUGAAUUGCCAUUUGUUAGAGAGAAGAUGUUUUGUUCAAGAUGCACAACAAAUAUAAUCAGAACUGUUCUUGAAAUAAAAGAAAAAUGCUUGCCUCCCCUCACUAGAGCACAGAGCAAGAAGGUUCUUUUUUAUCAUAAAGUUCACUUGGCUUUGGUUGUACAUAAGCUUUUUAUCAACAGACUGUCAGCUUGGGACACUUCUAUGAAUUGGUCACGAGUGCCACGUACUGUUUCAAAAGAAGCUGCAUGUUAGAUCUUUCUUGUUAGAGCUCUAUAAGCGUGGAGGCUUUUGACACAGGGACAAUUCCAAUUUAAACUUUAGUUUCAAAGAGUAGUUUAAUUAGUGUUUUUGAAAGGAUCUG